UUCAAUUAUCAAAAUUAAACUUCUGAACUCGUCUUGUGAAAUUAAAAAUGAAUCCUCCGCCUGUCGUCUUUGUAUAGCCCCAAUUUUCUGCGGCUACUGCACAAAGUAAUGUCUGGCAGACCGGGUUGAUGGACUGCUGCAGUGACUGUGGAGUCUGCCUAUGUGGAAUAUUCUGUUUCUAUUGUCUUGGAUGUCAAGUAGCAAGUGACAUGAAUGAAUGCUGCUUGUGUGGCGGAAGCGUUGCCAUGAGGACUCUCUACCGGACAAAAUACGGAAUCCCUGGAUCCAUCUGUUCUGAUUUCUGUACUAUCCUCUGGUGUGGUUUAUGUUCUCUUUGUCAACUCAAGAGAGAUAUUAACCGAAGGAAGGAAAUGGGGAUAUUCUAGUAAGAUGUUCCUGUACUCGUUAGUUGUGAGGCCUAGAAUCUCCAUAAGCAAGAGUCUUCUCCUCUCCUGCUGUACUUACUGUUCAAGAAAGUGCUGUAUGCAUUGUAAUUUGAUUGUUGCAAAGCACGACUUAUCUGAAAUAAAUCAAUAAAGUAAAGCAACAACC